rnacentral:rRNA from 1 species
GACGAACGCUGGCGGCGCGCCUAACACAUGCAAGUCGAACGAGCGAGAGAGAGCUUGCUUUCUUGAGCGAGUGGCGAACGGGUGAGUAACGCGUGAGGAACCUGCCUCAAAGAGGGGGACAACAGUUGGAAACGACUGCUAAUACCGCAUAAGCCCACGGUGCCCCAUGGCACAGAGGGAAAAGGAGCAAUCCGCUUUGAGAUGGCCUCGCGUCCGAUUAGCUAGUUGGUGAGGUAACGGCCCACCAAGGCGACGAUCGGUAGCCGGACUGAGAGGGUGAACGGCCACAUUGGGACUGAGACACGGCCCAGACUCCUACGGGAGGCAGCAGUGGGGAAUAUUGCACAAUGGGGGAAACCCUGAUGCAGCGACGCCGCGUGGAGGAAGAAGGUCUUCGGAUUGCAAACUCCUGUUGUUGGGGAAGAUAAUGACGGUACCCAACAAGGAAGUGACGGCUAACUACGUG